AUUACUGCUAAUUUAUUGCUGUCAAUCUAUCUACUACUGUCAAUCUAUCUAUUGCUGCUAAUCUAUCACUGCUAAUCUACUGCUGUUAAUCUAUCUACCGCUGUCAAUCUAUCUAUUGCUGCUAAUCUAUUGCUGCUAAUCUAUCACUGCUAAUCUAUUGCUGCUAAUCUAUCGCUGCUAAUUUAUCACUGCUAAUCUAUUGCUGCUAAUCUAUCACUAUCAAUCUAUCUACUGCUGUCAAUCUAUCUACUACUGCUAAUCUAUCUAUCACUGCC
rnacentral:sRNA from 2 species